ACAGCAGUCGCCGCGGGAAUACGUAGGUGGCAAGCGUUGUCCGGAUUUAUUGGGCGUAAAGCGAGCGCAGGCGGUUUCUUAAGUCUGAUGUGAAAGCCCCCGGCUCAACCGGGGAGGGUCAUUGGAAACUGGGAGACUUGAGUGCAGAAGAGGAGAGUGGAAUUCCAUGUGUAGCGGUGAAAUGCGUAGAUAUAUGGAGGAACACCAGUGGCGAAGGCGGCUCUCUGGUCUGUAACUGACGCUGAGGCUCGAAAGCGUGGGGAGCAAACAGGAUUAGAUACCCCUGUAGUCCCUGUCUCUUAUAA
rnacentral:rRNA from 1 species